rnacentral:rRNA from 1 species
GAUGAACGCUGGCGGCGUGCCUAAUACAUGCAAGUCGAACGCUGGAGAUCUAGCUUGCUAGAUCGAAGGAGUGGCGAACGGGUGAGUAAUACAUAAGCAACCUACCCACGAAGACUGGGAUAAUCUCUGGAAACGGGGACUAAUACCGGAUAGGUAAUCGGAAGGCAUCUUCUGAUUAUUAAAGGUUAAAAACACUGGUGGAUGGGCUUAUGGCGCAUUAGUUAGUUGGUGAGGUAACGGCCCACCAAGACGAUGAUGCGUAGCCGGCCUGAGAGGGUGAACGGCCACAUUGGGACUGAGACACGGCCCAGACUCCUACGGGAGGCAGCAGUAGGGAAUUUUCGGCAAUGGGGGAAACCCUGACCGAGCAACGCCGCGUGAGUGAUGACGGCCUUCGGGUUGUAAAGCUCUGUUGUAAGGGAAGAACGGUAGAUAGAGAAUAUCUAAGUGACGGUACCUUACCAGAAAGCCACGGCUAACUACGUGCCAGCAGCCGCGGUAAUACGUAGGUGGCGAGCGUUAUCCGGAAUUAUUGGGCGUAAAGGGUGCGUAGGCGGCCUGUUAAGUAAGUGGUUAAAUUGUUGGGCUCAACCCAAUCCAGCCACUUAAACUGGCAGGCUAGAGUAUUGGAGAGGCAAGUGGAAUUCCAUGUGUAGCGGCAAAAUGCGUAGAUAUAUGGAGGAACACCAGUGGCGAAGGCGGCUUGCUAGCCAAAGACUGACGCUCAUGCACGAAAGCGUGGGGAGCAAAUAGG